rnacentral:rRNA from 1 species
CAGUCGCCGCGGUAAUACGUAGGUGGCAAGCGUUGUCCGGAAUUACUGGGCGUAAAGGGCUCGCAGGCGGUUUCUUAAGUCUGAUGUGAAAGCCCCCGGCUCAACCGGGGAGGGUCAUUGGAAACUGGGAAACUUGAGUGCAGAAGAGGAGAGUGGAAUUCCACGUGUAGCGGUGAAAUGCGUAGAGAUGUGGAGGAACACCAGUGGCGAAGGCGACUCUCUGGUCUGUAACUGACGCUGAGGAGCGAAAGCGUGGGGAGCGAACAGGAUUAGAUACCCCAGUAGUCCCUGUCUCUUAUAC